GUUCGACUAAUUCUACCGGAGGUCAACUUGACUUAGAUUCAGGUACAAUGUCAUGACCAAAUACAAAGUCAACAUAAAAUCCGGGCUUCGACCGCAUACCUGUAGUUUCUAAGACGAGCAGCACAAAAGUGGCUGCAGCCCCGAACACUACAAGUGCGCAGCUUCCUAUCAGAGUUGCUCCGAAACAGGUCAAUCAUAGCUUUCAUUGCUCAAUUAAAUCAACCAACAUUACACAUCUACUGCAAAGCACAACAGGCUGUAAUAUUCCUCCCCAAACUGCGGUUACGCUACAAAACAGUCAUGAGUCACAACAUCCCCUCCCGGGAUGGCCACCAUGGU